rnacentral:rRNA from 1 species
UACAGAGGUCUCAAGCGUUGUUCGGAUUCAUUGGGCGUAAAGGGUGUGUAGGUGGCGCCGUAAGUCGGGUGUGAAAUUUCGGAGCUUAACUCCGAAACUGCAUUCGAUACUGCCGUGCUUUGAGGACUGGAGAGGAGACUGGAAUUUACGGUGUAGCGGUGAAAUGCGUAGAUAUCGUAAGGAAGACCAGUGGCGAAGGCGGGUCUCUGGACAGUUCCUGACGCUGAGGCACGAAGGUCAGGGGAGCAAACGGG